rnacentral:lncRNA from 1 species
AAGGAGUUGAGAUUAGCUGAAUGAAGACAGAAACCUUAACUUUCCUCUUCGGGUCCCAUUUUGUAAUUCUUCAAAGCGAUAAGUCUCUUUCAAUAUUUUCUUCCACUUUUUUCAAACACGCACACCUCUCCGUAUUUUCCAACACCGCACCAGCUCAGAACAAAAUCAAACUCCAAUGGAUGAUCCUCUUCAUCCUCAAAGCUGUUGAUUCUGACAAUGAACAUCGUCAACAUCACCAAGAAUCUACGAAGGGUUUUUAAUGAUGUAUGAAUUUUGAUGUUGAAGUCGAUUCUUGUCAUGGUUCUGCUUGCUCUCUCUCUUCUCCUGUUACCGGUGGUUUUGCCGCCAUUAUCUCCGCCGCCGUUGUUGUUCUUGUUUAUUCCUGUUUUUAUCAUGAGUCUGCUCAUUUUCUUGGCUUUAUCUCCUUCAUAUGAACCCAACAUCGCUGUUAAUACUGUUUGAUACAAAAGGGUAAUUGAUCUCAUCUCAUGUCUUAAUUCACGAAAAAAGCUUCGGAGGAUGGAUGGCUGAAAGAUCAAGCCGUCGGCGAGUCUCUCUAAGAAGAAGAAGAUGAUGAACUGUGGUAUUAGAUAUGUAACUGUGAGUUCUUUUUGCACUGAAUUUCCAUUUUCUUGAGUGAUCUUCUGGUGAAGUUUAUUCAUUUUUUCUAUGUUCAUAUUCUAAAAAAUUAACCAUGGUUUAAUUUUCUCUCCUUCUUUUUGUUUUUUUUUUUCAAUUUUUCAAGGAAAAGAUAUGAUCUGGAAUCUAUUUUUCCCUCUGAAAUGGAAACUUAUUGAAAAAUAUUAUGAUGCUAAAGAGAAAGAAGCAUUAUCAUUUUGUUAACUUUAGGCAGGAGGAGCAUUAUUUUAUGCAAAAAAAAUGGCAAACUUAAUAGAAAAGGUGAGAAAUUUGCAGUAAUGUUUAAUUAAUAGUCAAUCAUUUUAAUUUUGGAUCACAAACUCAGACUCUAAAAUUGAAUUAGGAAAAUUUACAUUUUUUCACUAAAGUUAUAAUUAUAAUAAUAAACCCCCUUAAAUUUUAUUAUCUUUAUUUUACAAAACAAAAAUGAUAAUGCAAUGAACUUUGAUACAUAUUCAUAGAAACCCAUUUAUGUCUUGGAUAGAGCUUAGGUACAGUUGUAAGUUAAGUCUGUUGAUUAUCAUAAUUGAAAGUUCAAUUAGGAAAAGUUUUAAUUUUUCUACAUUAAUUUUGACUUUUAAUUAUGAUUAUAUUCCGCUCACAGACUUAGUCUAGUGGUAAAUAUAUUUGAAUAAAUUUGAGAGAUCAAUUUUAUUAUCCCAAUUUUCAUUUUUCAAAUUUAAAUCCCUUUAUUCAUCUGGUUAUAAUAAUUAUGGGCGGAAGUUUAGGAUUUUUUUUCCUUUAUUUUUUCUAAUAUAUUGGGACCUUCAAGUUGAAGGCAGAACUAGUGCAUAUAGUUAAUCAGUACUCCUUUGGUGGCGGAAGGUACUAAACAGGUAAAGCUGGUGAAUUCUGUUGACGACGGAUAAACAUGUAAACAAGUUAAGUGUUUUGUUAAGAUUUUAAAAUAGCAGUUACCAGCUCUAAUUGUAAAGCUAUUUUUCAUCAGGUGGUAAUUAAUUCGAUUUUAUUUUUUUAUUUAGAUUAUAUUACUCUUUUUAAAUUUUUUAAAUUAAAAUUUUAUAUUAAUAAAUCAUUUAAAAAUAUAAAAUAUAUUAAAUAAAUCUAAACAUAUUAUAAAUAACAAUUAAAUUAAUCAAAAUAUUCAUCCUUUUACAAGAAAGGAUAUUUAUAUUCAUAAAAAAAUAAAAAAUAUAUUUUAAUUAUUAUUAUAUAUGUUGCGAAUUAAUAAUUUUAUGUAUAUAUUAUUAAGAUGAUAAAUUAAGACAUACAUCAUUUUACAUAUUAUUAAUAACAGGUAGAAAUAGUUUAGUAAACACUUAGUAUAUAUUAAUUAGAAUCCAUAAUCGCUGCUAAUUAUAUAUUAUAAUUAAAUCAAUAUUCACAGAUUUAAACUAAAUUUGUUGGUAAGUAUAUCUGAGAAGUCUCAGAUUCUACUCCUCCAAUCUCUAAUCUCAUUUCAACGAAAAAAAAAAAAUCAAACAUCUCCUUAUCAUUUAGAAAUUGUUUCGAUUUUAGUUUCUGAACCACUGAUUACUAAAUCGGAGUUUAGGUUAAGAAAAUUAAUAUCUAUACCCAAAUAGAGACUAUUUGAUAAGCGAUUUGGAAUUGGAUGAUUCAUGAGGAUUGGAAGGAAAUAUAGGACUAUUUGAGACAGUUUGAAAUAAAAACUUAUGGUUGGAGGAUUUUUAUUUUAUUUUUAAAUUAAAUUACGGAUUGAACAUGUUUUUCAAGUUUCUGAUUCUAAAUUUUGAAAAUCUUGCAUUUGAAUGAAAAUAUAAAAAUAUUUUUUCGAUUUAAUUUCAUCAUAGUCUCUAAUUUUUCUUUUAAUUUAUAUUAUAAUCUCAAUUUUAAUUAGAUUUAAAAUGUUUUUGAACCGUCUGUUUUAACGAAAAAUAAAUCGUAAAUAUAUUUUAAGUCGUUUAAUAAAUAAUUUUUUUUUACAUUUUAUUUUAUUUUUAUAAAUUAAAAAAUCUUAAAAAGAAAAAAAGAAAUGGAUAGGAAAUUCUAUGUUUUGAGAUUUUGUUGGAAUAAUAUAUGAUUAUGUGUUUUAUUAAAUUAUCUAAUUAAAAAUUAUGAAGAAUUUUAGUUUAGAAUUCUUCUUCAAAACUAUAAAGACUCGAAUUCUAAUGUAAAUUACUAUUUAAUUCAUUUAAUUUGUCAUACUCAAUGACUAGUUGCCUAUUGAAAACUCAAUUCUCUUGUCUUGAAGUUAAAUUCCAUCAUUAAUUUCAUCCUUAUCCUUAUUAAUUUACGGCAAAAACAGUCAAAUGAGAAAUAAUGUAUUUUUAUUGUUUUAUGUUAAGAUAGGAAAUUUAAUGAUAUUAUAAACUAUACAUAUUUCACAAUUACUAAUUUAAUUCGGUGUGAAUUUUUUUAGAAUUUUUUUAUCUUUUAAUAUUUUUUUACAUAUAAAUAUAUAAUAUUCUCCUAAUAUAUUUUAAUUAAAAAAAUUUACACAGGAAAUAAGAAAAUUCUAAUCUUCAUGAAUAUAGUCAAAUUAGUAAAUCAUGUUAAAUCUGUGCGUUAUUUAUUUUUUAUAUUUAAUUUUUAUUGUGUGAUUAUUUAAUUCUUAACAUUUACCCUCCCUCUCUUCUUUCUCCUUUGCUAAUCCAUAUUUUUUCUUUUUGCUUUUUCUUUUUGCUCUUUCUUUUGAUAAUUGAUUAUAGUGAGAUUUACAUGAGAUUUCAAGAUUUGAAGCAAGACAUUAGCGUAUGUAGGAAAAGAGUGUCAAUGGGUAUCAAAGGAUUCACUGAAGUAUUCUCUUAAAUGUGUCAUUGUUUAUGUUGAUGAUGGAAAAAAACCUAUUUUGUUUGUAAGAUCUCUAUUAAUCUUUCUUCAUUAUUUUGCUAAGUUUGGAGUUGCUAUAUUUUUGAGUUUGUAAAAUCCAUCAUUCUAUGAGAUGGGAUUGUUACGAUUUUGAAAAAAAGGAUGGGAGUUUUUGUUUAUGGCUUGAAAAUUCUUAUUUUUAUGGAUGUGAUGUUCAAUUUCUCAAAAUUUUCUCAUUAAUUUAUGUUUUGUUGUCUGUGAUUUGCAGGAGAUAUGGAGGGGAGAGAGAGAUUAGCAAAGGGGGAGUAAAGACAAGGAGAAAGAAAAGAAAUAGAUAUAAUAGAGAAAUAUGUGUGAAAGAAAGAAGAGGGGGAAGGGGGAGGACUAGAGUGGGAAGAAAAAUUUUAUAAAUUUAUGCAUUGUUACUUAAUGAAUCUAAUGUAAUGGCUAUCGAUCGUUAAAGAGGAGUAGUUUGAAUACUAUUAUAUUUGUCUCC